GACGAACGCUGGCGGCGUGCUUAACACAUGCAAGUCGAACGAUGACGGUGGUGCUUGCACCGCCUGAUUAGUGGCGAACGGGUGAGUAACACGUGAGUAACCUGCCCUCCACUUCGGAAUAACCUCGGGAAAUCGUGGCUAAUACCGAAUAUGAGCACUCAUCGCAUGGUGGGUGUUGGAAAGAUUUAUCGGUGGGGGAUGGACUCGCGGCCUAUCAGUUUGUUGGUGAGGUGAUGGCUCACCAAGACGAUGACGGGUAGCCGGCCUGAGAGGGCGACCGGCCACACUGGGACUGAGACACGGCCCAGACUCCUACGGGAGGCAGCAGUGGGGAAUAUUGCACAAUGGGCGAAAGCCUGAUGCAGCGACGCCGCGUGGGGGAUGACGGCCUUCGGGUUGUAAACCCCUUUCAGUAGGGAAGAAGCGAGAGUGACGGUACCUGCAGAAGAAGCGCCGGCUAACUACGUGCCAGCAGCCGCCGUAACAC
rnacentral:rRNA from 1 species